rnacentral:rRNA from 1 species
UACGUAGGCAGCGAGCGUUGUUCGGAGUUACUGGGCGUAAAGGGUGUGUAGGCGGUUCUUUAAGUUUGGUGUGAAAUCUCCCGGCUCAACCGGGAGGGUGCGCCGAAUACUGAGGGACUAGAGUGCGGGAGAGGAAAGUGGAAUUCCUGGUGUAGCGGUGAAAUGCGUAGAUAUCAGGAGGAACACCGGUGGUGUAGACGGCUUUCUGGACCGUAACUGACUCUGAGGCACGAAAGCUAGGGGAGCAAACGGG